UACGUAGGGUGCGAGCGUUGUCCGGAAUUAUUGGGCGUAAAGAGCUCGUAGGCGGUCUGUCGCGUCGAAUGUGAAAACCCGGGGCUCAACUCCGGGCUUGCAUUCGAUACGGGCAGGCUAGAGUUCGGUAGGGGAGUCUGGAAUUCCUGGUGUAGCGGUGAAAUGCGCAGAUAUCAGGAGGAACACCCGUGGCUAAGGCGGCUCUCUAGUACGGUACUGACGCUGAGACGCGAAAGCGUGGGGAGCGAACAGG
rnacentral:rRNA from 1 species